ensembl:lncRNA
AUUUUUUCCCCCUGCUCUCCAGCCGAUGGAUGUGCAUGCCUGCCAGAUGGUCUCAAGCUGGGGCUGGUUAUCUUGCCUCUGUCUCUGCUGUUUCUCCACAAAGAAAUCUCUUGUGUAUGUCAUGGAGCACAAUGAAGCCCCUUCUAUGCCUUCAUUCAGACACAGAGGGAGGAAGACCUGACAACUCCAAACAAGGAGAGUUUCUCCAUGCUGCAGAAAUCUGCUGCCUCCUCCUGCCCAGGACUUUUCAAUGACAGGCACAGCUGCAUCCCAUGAAGACCAUCCAAACUAUCUCUUAAAGGAAGACAGUAAACAAAGCAACAAACUGAUGCUCAUUCUGCAGAUGUUGAAGAUAACUGUUCAUGCUGGCACACAGUGGGGUUCUUACUCCUUACGCUAUGGAGCAUUCACCAAAACUCUCAGGAAUUAGAGACUAUAUUACUUUAGAGAAUGAGCUCCAGUUAUGAUGAACUGAGCCAGCAGAGCCACAUAGCAACAUCACCAUUCUGCUGGCUGCUGUCAGUUCUCCUGUCUGUCUCCAUGUUUCCAGAAGGAUGAUGAUCUGUUCCUGGAGUGAUGUGUUAUCUCAGCUGUUCAGCCAAGGGAUGAUACAAUAUGAACACAUGAGCUCUUACUGGUACUGAAGAAUGCUCUCAAAUUAAGUAGCUGAGACGUACAGGUCAGCAGCUGGGGCUACCUGCUCCCAGUAAAUACACUGAACACCAAUCUUGCAAAUUUUCAAAGAAAAUUUUCUUAACUCUGACUUCUAUUCUGAUACAGCCUAGAUUCUCAAAGGAAAAAGUAGAAGCUUCCUGACUUUAGGCUUUUAAGCCUCAGUUGCUGAAUAAAACUU